rnacentral:lncRNA from 1 species
CUCUGCCUUCUGAUCACUUUGAAGAGUCUGUGAGGACAGUAAGAUACAUCAAUUUACAUGUUGUCUUCAAGGAACAAGGAAGCAACUAGGAGUAUGGAUAUGGCUCCUGAUGGGAUGCUCCAGUCGUGCUCACUCGUGCAGUUCUCGCAUGGUAGUUACCAGACUCUACUCAAUAAAAGCAAGAUGACGCAAUCUUUGCAGUGCACAUGACAAAGACAGCAAAUGUGACUUGCUCUAUUCUUUGCCGAUCAAGGAAAUUAAGGUGGGAUGAUGCUAAAAAACUUAGGAGACUAGUGGAUGCCUAUGGGCAAAACCAAAGGCCUAAACAGGCUGAGACAAUCAAUUGACAACAAAAUGUCAUUGCUUUCUAUCAGUUUAUUACUAAAGAUUGUACAACCUCAGUUGAGUUUUAAAAAGUGAAAAUAAAUAUUAAAAUAAUAUUGUUCAAGUUGGAUGUCAGUGGAGACAGGUGAAAAAAUAUUCUGCCUGUCACUAGACACAGGUACACAGUCUGGGAACAUUUCGACCCUUGUUAACGGGUAGGCAAAGCAGUCAGAAUUCCAGUGUUUGUAUAGGAAUCCAAUGGCAAAUAACUUUUUUCCAAAAUUGACUUUUACACAAUUUGUGAAUGGCAACAUUAAAAUACUAGGUAGAAGAUUGUGUUCACCUAGUUUGAAUGAUGUAGCAUGGCUAGAAGACACUCAGUUCAUUUUUUCUAAUUUUCCACACAUUUGUCUGUAAUUUUUUCCCCAAGAACCGUGUCUGCCCAGCCAAAUUUACAGCAUGGAUAGUAGAAGACUGGACUGGAAACGCAUAUCAUGUGGGUAGAUUUCUCAUCGCCAAUUGGUUGUUUCGUGCUUCAAGAUGGUGUCUGCUGUUUCCGUCAUAGAGGAAAUUUGUAACGAAAAGAUGGCGAAUAUGUGUUAUCCUUCAUUUCGUUCUUUUUCUCCGGUUCUUGUAGUAGUUUAAGUUUUGACAUAUAUUUUUUCUUUGCUUGCCGUUUCACCACGAUGACGACCCUGCAAAGCCACAGUUGAACUUUCAAGGUAAGCGCUUGUUACUGCUCAUUGGUAUUAUUGAGUUAUUUUUUGUAAAAAAAAUACCUCUUAGUUGGCGCAUCAGGGUAUGUUAUGGACGAGUGAGUGAGUGAGUGAGUGAGUGAGCGAGUGAGUGAGUGAGUAGUAGUAGUAUAUCUUUAUUGCGUCUUACUCUCCAAAGGGAGGUAUUGGUCUGUUUACAAUAAAGGUUUAACUUUAACUAGUACAAUAAGAAAUAACAUUCACUUGAUUCUUUUAUAAUUCAAAUAAAAUUA